rfam:Pichia stipitis CBS 6054 chromosome 1, whole genome shotgun sequence.
GGGCGUGUGGUCUAGUGGUAUGAUUCUCGCUUUGGGCGACGAUUUAGCAACACUAAAUUGAUUACUACAAGCAUGCGAGAGGCCCUGGGUUCAAUUCCCAGCUCGCCCC